ensembl:lncRNA
GUUGAGGUGGCGGAAGUAGGACCCAAUUGCAGACUGAGAACAAAAAAAUGCUUUAUUCAACCGGAUCAAAAUGCCUAGGGGCAAAACGUGGACCAGGAACACAAGCAACAAAACUCACCGACAACUCAAUGAACCAACAAGGGACACACAUGGUUUAAAUACACUUGGAAGGUGCAGGUGAUUGGACCUGUUGGUUUUUUAUGACAGUAUUGGUUGAUCUCCUCUGCCUUAAGAUUGCAAUAUUACUUUUAGCUGAAAAUGCAUCGCAUAACUGAUUUAUUUUGAAUUUAAAAUAACUGGAUAAUGUUUUUCUCUCUGCCUGAAAUGUGUCAUGCCCUGGAGGUGAAGCAUAUUUUCUUAAAUUAAAUAAGAUUACCUUUAUCUGUAUUUUAUGUUUUUUGGCUUUUACUGUCAAGCGUAGGAGGUUGCGAGGGGCAGUCAGGAAGUCCCCCUGUAGGCCUGACUGUCCCAUUUCAGAGACAGAUUGGUUCAGCCUAUGGUCUACCAGGUCCACCGCAAAGGCUGGGUCCUUCAAGAAUUGGUGUGGAAUAACUUCACUGUGUAGGAAGUGAAGUUUACCCGGGGAUACGAGCGGCAGAAAACUACAUAAUAAAACAGGCCAAACCUACACCGUGACACCUAUGGAGGUAGUUUGGUCAGAAGCAAAAAGUAUUGCGGCCAUUUCUAUUAAAUCCCUAAUAUGUAGAAUGUUGUGUUCUACAUUUUUUUUUACUUUAAAUGCUCCUUUAGAAAACGCUCCUACACAAAUAAUAUAGGCCACAGAGUGCAGCCCCAGUCUUCUACUAAACAAAGAGCUGACUCCUCUCAGGGGCGAGUGCUGAAAUGCUUUGCUCAUUGAAGCAGUCUUCUCUAGAUAUGAAUUAAUCAGAAAUACCUCAACUCACACAACAGAUUCUUUCAAAGCUGGCGGUUGAAAAUAAGUUAACCAGGCAGCUUCAUAUUAAUGCCUGUCUCCAAAUAACUAUUUAAGUAAAUUAUAACUAAUUCUGACACAAAUGGUUUUCAUAACUUUAAUAUGAAAUUACCUAAAAUACUAUUUUGUUUUGGCAGCAGAUGUAAAAAAGCUAAACUAUGUUUUCUGACUUGCUUUUGUUACAUGAGUAAUGACUCAUUGACAGGAUGUACAUAAGAUGGUCUGCAUUAGAACAGUACAAACAAUAACUCUUCAUUACAUAUACAAACUGUUUACGUUGCAUACUGAUUUAUGAUCCCCAAAAUAUUUUCACAAAAUCCCUCCUAUCAAGACCUACAUCAAACAGGUCAUACGAUUAACUUGUCAGGAAUCAGGAAACAUUUAUUAGCCAAAAUAUGUCAAACAUACAAGGAAUUUGUCUUGGCGGUUAGUGCGCGACAGUAGACAGACAAGACAACAGUGCACAAGUAAUAAAAUAAAGUGGAAUGAAAUGCUAAUGCAAUGGGUUAGUAGAAUAAGGCUAAGGCCAUGGGUUAGUAUAAAACAAGGGAAUAAAGUUUAAAAAAAUUAAAUAUUAAAAAGUUAAAAAGAAAAAUAUUAAGCAUAAAGUGCACUAACAAACAAGUAACAGACAAGAGACAAAUUUAUUUAGUAUAUAGUAUACAGUUUACAUAUGUUAAGGUUACUUGCCUCUCUCCUUUUCUUCCCACGACUGCAGGAAUAUUAAAUAUGUGAGCCGCCCCGCCUGCAGAUGCUUUGCCAUUGAUUUUUGUGUUGAUCCCCCACAUCGCAGUAUCAGAGAUGGAUAGUUGAGACGUCUUCAGAUAGGAGCAGAGAGAAUGGAAGAAGUGUCACUCUGAAUGUCGUAAGGUAGAUGAAUAUGUUUCAGUUGCAGUGAUGGCAGCAUGGUUUC